rnacentral:lncRNA from 1 species
GUUCCUAUACAGGUUAACCUGACUGGUACAAGGAACAACACCUCUCUCAUCCCAUUGGUGGGACAAGAGAAAAAACUCUCAGAACAUCUGUGUCAUUGUUUUGAGAACUAAAAUCUUAUUUACACAACAGUCUUUGAGAGAAAAAAGCUUCUUAAAAGACUUUCCCUUGGGAAACAGAUCAGCCACUGAGAGCCUGAAACUCUCUCAGGCUCAGAAAAUCAUGUCCACAAUCCACAACACUGCCACUUCAGCCUGUCACUGUCACAUAAUCCCCCCUAGGUGACAUUUCCUCCUGGAUAUUAGAGGUUUUGUACUAGAAAAGGUCCUGAGAGACUGAAAUUACAAAAACUAACCAGCCCUGAGGAGGUCUGUGCUGAUCAGGACAUUCACCAAUAUAACACUGUUGAGUCUUCUGGGAAAACUUGAUCAGAAUGGGAAUCUGAAUGUAAACAAAUGACUACUUCUGGAUUCUUCCAGCCCAGCAGGCCAGAACAGGUAAGAGCAAGCCAAGAAUUACAGAGUUCUGUGCAAUUAAUAAAAGUGUCAUCCCUGGACAUUUUGCCACUGACAUGGACCAGCUCCUGCAUUUUGCUCACCACUACAAGUGCCAUUGCACCGAGAAUUAUUGACAUUGCCACCGAGGGGGCUAUAGCUGUGUGAGUAUAAAUAAGCACAGUGCUAGGAAAAGGCACUCAAGGAUAAAUAGCAAAGGUAGUGCAUUGUGUGGGACCAAAAUAACUCCAUGCUGUUCACUGACAGUAUCUUCUGCUGGCUGUCAUGUACUGGCUAUUUCCAGCCAGGGCCCUUGGCUUCUCCUGAAAGGCAAAAAGCAUGUGUGGCUUCAGAAGCCAUGGGGCUCCUCUCUGUCCCUCCAAGAUGGUGACACUGAGAAGCUGGGACCCACUUACAAGUACACUGUGAGUAGCAGUGCUCGAUAUCCAACAUCUGCCAGCAUUUUCAGAGCUGUGAAGAUCCCAGGUAAAAUUACCAGCACCUGUAUGGACUCCCUCUCUUGCA